AUAUUUAUAUAAUUGCAUUUUCAUUGUAAUAAAAUGUACCGGCGGAAUGCGGAUGCCGGACAUGUCGUUAUAAUUUUGAAAGGAACCGAUUUCCUUGCAAAGAUUGGUUUACUAAAUUUAGACGAAUGGAUUGCUUGGAUACUUAAUUUUGAGAGAAAAUUUAAAAAGGUGCUUCUCCUAAGAAUAGCAAGGUGUAUUAUGACUACGAUGAAUGAAAACCAAUUGGAUACAACUAACAAGUUCAAUUCUAUUUCAAUUAAUGGACCUAGACAUUAUUCGACUUCAUUAAUAGCUGGUGCUAUAGCUGGAACUGUUGUUGACAUUGCAUUAUUCCCAUUAGAUACGUUAAAAACUAGAUUACAAAGCCAAUACGGAUUUAUUCAGUCUGGUGGCUUCAGAGGUAUUUAUAAAGGACUAACGCCGACUAUUAUUGGUGCCCCUUUUACAGCGGGAUUGUUUUUUGGCACUUAUGACGGUUUUAAAAAUCUAUUUCCUUCUGUAUCAAACAAUACUGCUCCAUUAGUUCAUUUAUGCGCAGGAAUCGUUGGUGAAGUGGUUUGUUGUACAACCAAAGUACCCAUAGAAAUAGUAAAACAAAGGCGUCAAGCAUCGCCAAAUCAAGAAUCCAUUUUAAAAAUCAUAAGAAAUGCGUAUGCUAACGAGGGAGUUUUUGGGUUUUAUCGUGGUUUCUGGACAACUGUUAUGCGUGAUGUACCAUUCUCUAUGUUGCAACUUCCAAUAUGGGAAUACUUAAAAAAAGAGUACAGGAAUUUUACUGGUAAACCUCUUACAACAUUAGAAGUUGCUUUAUGCGGUUCUAUAUCAGGAGGCAUAGCUGCUGCUUUGACUACACCCAUUGACGUAACAAAAACACAAAUUAUGUUAGCAAAUAGUGCUGUGGAUCAAAAUUUCUCAAUAGUUUUUAAGAACAUAUACAAAAAAAAAGGACUAAAUGGAUAUCCCAUCAUUUGAAUGAGUCAAAGAACAAAAAAUGUAUUGAGUACUAUCAAGUUGAUUUAGGGCUUGUUUGUUUUUAUUGUUAAGUGAGUACUGAAGUUGGAAUGUUACCUAGUUUAAGUCACAACAUGUUCGUUAUUAUUAUUUCAUGUUAUUCAGUCCAUUUACUAAAUACAGUUAGGAAUUCAAUCAUAUUUCAAUGUUGCUUAGCUUUAAAGAAACUGCUAUAAAGUUUUCGCCAAAAAGCAUUAAUCCUUUUUUUUUUGUCAUGUUUGCCAAUCUGUGUGGAGGCAUAUUUAAGAAAAUGGACUUUUGAUGUGAAAUUUCAGGAACAUGUUGAGGAUUUAUGUGUUUGCAUAUAUUAUUAUUACUAUUAUUAUUGUUUUAUUGACAGCAAUUUCACAUAUUAUAACAGAUAUGGUAAAAAAGUAUGCAUGUGAGUAGUUAGAACACAAUAGGACUAAUAAAGAAAGUUAUUAUUCAGAAAAACAGAGUGCUAAAUAUACAUAUAAUAGUUAAAUGAUAAUUAAGUAUAAGUGGUUGUGUGGCCCAAGGAUUAAUUAUUAUUUGCAGCUCUGAGCAUACGAUGCAGAGUAUGGUUGUGCCCAAAAAGUCUUAUGUCUUAUGUCUACAUAGAAUCGGGAUUGAUUUCUAGAAGAAUGAGAAGGGACUCUAAAAGACUGUUUGCCGGUUUUCUUCCAAGAGUCGUAUUGAUAAUGAUU